rnacentral:tRNA from 1 species
GGGAUUGUAGUUCAAUCGGUUAAAACACUGCCAUGUCAAGGCAGAAGUUGUGGGUUCGAGCCCCGUUAAUCUCG